GAUGAACGCUAGCGGCAGGCCUAACACAUGCAAGUCGAGGGGUAGCAGGAUUAAGCUUGCUUAAUUGCUGACGACCGGCGCACGGGUGCGUAACGCGUAUGCAACCUACCUUAUACUGGGGUAUAGCCCGGAGAAAUUCGGAUUAAUCCACCAUAGUACUAAUGAAUCGCAUGGUUUAUUAGUUAAAGCAUUGCGGUAUAAGAUGGGCAUGCGUCCUAUUAGCUAGAUGGUGAGGUAACGGCUCACCAUGGCUACGAUAGGUAGGGGGCUUGAGAGGGUGGUCCCCCACACUGGUACUGAGACACGGACCAGACUCCUACGGGAGGCAGCAGUGAGGAAUAUUGGUCAAUGGGCGCAAGCCUGAACCAGCCAUGCCGCGUGCAGGAAGAAUGCCCUAUGGGUUGUAAACUGCUUUUAUAUGGGAAUAAACCUCUUUACGUGUAGAGAGCUGAAGGUACCAAAUGAAUGAGCACCGGCUAACUUCGUGCCAGCAGCCGCCGUAA
rnacentral:rRNA from 1 species